CCCGGCCCAUGAGCACCUCUAAUCGUGAUAUUUUGAUUAUAAUGAAACUUUUUAAGUGGAUCCCCAAAUCAUGUAGUUUUUAACUUUUUAUUAAAUGAUUUUCAUUUAUGUUGUGUAAUUAGUUUUUUUUUUUGUCAUUUUCAAGUGUUAAUGAACUUUAAGUCAUGUAACAUUUUAUACAACAUGCUUCAUCAUACUUAAAUAUCAUUAAAUCUUCGAAUAAAUUUAAACUUUUUUCUUCAACUCCAUUUUGUAAAAUUUAAUAUCAAAUUUGAUUUACAAAUUAAACUAGUCAAUUGCAAUUAUCUCAAAUUUUUUUUUCAUUUUGAUUGGAAGGAUGACCUUUACGUACACCCCUAUGCUGAAAGCAAAAAUGUAAUGUUAACUUUAUCAUACAUUAAAGAUGUUGAAAUUU
rnacentral:lncRNA from 1 species